UCCCUGGUAACCUAAUGGUUAGGGCUCAGUGCUUUCACCACUGUGGCCCAGGUUCAAUCCCUGGUUUGGGAA
rnacentral:tRNA from 1 species